UACGUAGGGGGCAGGCGUUGUCCGGAUUUAUUGGGCGUAAAGAGCGUGUAGGCGGCCAGGUAGGUCUGCUGUGAAACUCGAGGCUCAACCUCGAGAUGUCGGCGGAAACCAUCUGGCUAGAGUCCGGAAGAGGAGAGUGGAAUUCCUGGUGUAGCGGUGAAAUGCGCAGAUAUCAGGAAGAACACCCGUGGCGAAGGCGGCUCUCUGGGACGGUACUGACGCUGAGACGCGAAAGCGUGGGGAGCGAACAGG
rnacentral:rRNA from 1 species